rnacentral:rRNA from 1 species
UACAGAGGUCUCAAGCGUUGUUCGGAUUCAUUGGGCGUAAAGGGUGCGUAGGCGGCGCGGUAAGUCGGGUGUGAAAUCUCGGGGCUUAACUCCGAAACUGCAUUCGAUACUGCCGUGCUUGAGGACUGGAGAGGAGACUGGAAUUUACGGUGUAGCGGUGAAAUGCGUAGAUAUCGGGAGGAACACCAGUGGCGAAGGCGGCGACCUGGGCAGAUACUGACGCUGAGGUGCGAAAGCGUGGGGAGCAAACAGG